GAAAAGUAAGGCUUCCUGGACAGAGGUUGGUUAGCAACAGGACAGUAAAGUGCUUGACAAAUGUGGAGGCAUUUUCACUCUCUGCCGCCGACCUUGAAGAAGUCACGAUACUUUUCACAAGAUUCUUGCGGAGCCCUCAGGUCCAAGGAGCUUUAAGGUAUGAAUCGCCUUAUUGGAGAUCCCUUGCCGCAAACCGCAUUCAAGUUGCAUGGAGAUAUAGACAGAAACGUCUGAGUCGUGUUAAUUCCUCAGUAACAACUAAACAUUGAGGUUUGGGCAUCUUCUAGGUGUUAGUCUCCAAAGCAUGAGUGAUCCAUCAGGUAACUAAUAUGACAAGGGGACUUAUUGUUGAUGCAGACUGGACUUUAUCUAUUAUACAUACUCAUGUGUAGUUUAAUAUAUAUCCUCUUUGUCUUUGUGGAGCUUGGACUUUUUAUGCAUGGACUACAUAUUCCCA